GAUGAAGAACGUAGCGAAAUGCGAUAAGUAAUGUGAAUUGCAGAAUUCAGUGAAUCAUCGAAUCUUUGAACGCACAUUGCGCCCGCCAGCAUUCUGGCGGGCAUGCCUGUUCGAGCGUCAUUUCAACCCUCGAGCCCCCCCGGGGGCCUCGGUGUUGGGGGACGGCACACCAGCCGCCCCCGAAAUGCAGUGGCGACCCCGCCGCAGCCUCCCCUGCGUAGUAGCACACACCUCGCACCGGAGCGCGGAGGCGGUCACGCCGUAAAACGCCCAACUUUCUUAGAGUUGACCUCGGAUCAGGUAGGAAUACCCGCUGAACUUAAGCAUAUCAAUAAGCGGAGGAA
rnacentral:misc_RNA from 1 species